rnacentral:tRNA from 1 species
UGGCUCAAUCGGUAGAGCGUCCGACUACCAGUCAGGCGAUUGCUGGUUCGAGUCCGGU